rnacentral:misc_RNA from 1 species
GGAAGGAACGAUGUGGGAAAGGUUGGUUCUCCUUUAUUGUGAUGGAUGUUUUACAUACAUUAUUUGUUGCUGAAACUAAAAAACUAUGCAAGUAAUUGAGAAUAGUAUCAAAUGGCACUGCUUAAGUGUUUCAGAUUACAGGCAUUAUCAUCUUAUUCUGUGUGUUGUCCUACUAGUUGUAUGGAUGGUCAUAAAUAUGUAGCUAAGGUAGAUUGUUCAU